UUAGAGUUUGAUCAUGGCUCAGAGCGAACGCUGGCGGCAGGCCUAACACAUGCAAGUCGAACGAACCUUUCGGGGUUAGUGGCGGACGGGUGAGUAACACGUGGGAACGUGCCUUUAGGUUCGGAAUAACUCAGGGAAACUUGUGCUAAUACCGAAUGUGCCCUUCGGGGGAAAGAUUUAUCGCCUUUAGAGCGGCCCGCGUCUGAUUAGCUAGUUGGUUGAGGUAAUGGCUCACCAAGGCGACGAUCAGUAGCUGGUCUGAGAGGAUGAUCAGCCACAUUGGGACUGAGACACGGCCCAAACUCCUACGGGAGGCAGCAGUGGGGAAUCUUGCGCAAUGGGCGAAAGCCUGACGCAGCCAUGCCGCGUGAAUGAUGAAGGUCUUAGGAUUGUAAAAUUCUUUCACCGGGGACGAUAAUGACGGUACCCGGAGAAGAAGCCCCGGCUAACUUCGUGCCAGCAGCCGCGGUAAUACGAAGGGGGCUAGCGUUGCUCGGAAUUACUGGGCGUAAAGGGAGCGUAGGCGGACAUUUAAGUCAGGGGUGAAAUCCCGGGGCUCAACCUCGGAAUUGCCUUUGAUACUGGAUGUCUUGAGUAUGAGAGAGGUGUGUGGAACUCCGAGUGUAGAGGUGAAAUUCGUAGAUAUUCGGAAGAACACCAGUGGCGAAGGCGACACACUGGCUCAUUACUGACGCUGAGGCUCGAAAGCGUGGGGAGCAAACAGGAUUAGAUACCCUGGUA
rnacentral:rRNA from 1 species